AGCUCCAAUAGCGUAUAUUAAAGUUGCUGCAGUUAAAAAGCUCGUAGUUGCAUUUCCGAGGCAAGGGAUUAGUCCGACCUUUGGUGGGUAUUUAAUCCUCUUGCCUCGUCCUUGAGUGGUGCUUCUUGGUAUUAAGUUAUCGAGGAGAUAGCCGCUCAUCGUUUACUGUGAGAAAAUUAGAGUGUUCAAAGCAGGCUUAUGCCGUUGAAUAUAUUAGCAUGGAAUAAUAAGAUAGGACCUCGGUACUAUUUUGUGGGUUUGAGAACCAAGGUAAUGAUGAAUAGGGACAGUUGGGGGUAUUCGUAUUCAGUUGUCAGAGGUGAAAUUCUUAGAUUUUCGGAAGACGAACUACUGCGAAAGCAUUUACCAAGGAUGUUUUCA
rnacentral:rRNA from 1 species